UUUUAUUUAAUUAUAAUUAUUUUGGACACUGGAGCAAAGAAAAGGAUGAGCUAGUUUUGUUCAAAACAAGAAAGGUGCUGGUACAGCAUGUAACCCCACAAGGCUCUGGUUUCCAGCACAGAAUGCAUAAAACGUUUCACAACACGGAUGCAGCAACAAUGAGAAUUUAGCAUUGUGACAAAUACUGCUACAAAAGUGUAAGUUCAGUGGCAACAACAACAGUGUAGAGAACAAUUGACAUAUCCAGGGAAUUGUAACCAGACACUUGCAGCUUACAGGAGUCCCUUCAGCUAUUAAUAGUGAGAAUGAGAACAUGAACUGAGUUAUAGUUUCAAUCCAAAGAUGAACUGUAAGAAAAGGAAAGUGUCAUAAAACUCCUAGAAGAAAUGUUUGCUACUGUUCUCUCUGAAAUUGGCUUUGCAGCCUCCAGAUCAUCUGUAAAGAAAGAGAGAAGAAACUUUUACCACGGCAAGCAGUGGAGAUACUGAGCCAGGCAAAGGCCGGCUGCUGCACCCCAUUGUGGAGACAAGCGAUGAGUCUUCCCCUGCAGCUCCCACGCCAGGGGAUGUCCCAG
rnacentral:lncRNA from 13 species